rnacentral:rRNA from 1 species
GUCCACGCCGUAAACGAUGAGUACUAAGUGUUGGAGAAAUUCAGUGCUGUAGUUAACGCAAUAAGUACUCCGCCUGAGUAGUACGUGCGCAAGCAUGAAACUCAAAGGAAUUGACGGGACCCCGCACAAGCGGUGGAUCAUGUUGUUUAAUUCGAAGAUACGCGAAGAACCUUACCAGGUCUUGACAUCCCCUGCAAAGCUAUAGAGAUAUAGUGGAGGUUACCAGGGUGACAGGUGGUGCAUGGUUGUCGU